GACUCAGCCCGCCUGCACCCAGGUGAAAUAAACAGCCACGUUGCUCACACAAAGCCUGUUUGGUGGUCUCUUCACACGGAUGCACAUGAAAUUUGGUUCCAUGACUCGGAUCGGGGGACCUCCCUUGGGAGAUCAAUCCCCUGUCCUCCUGCUCUUUGCUCCGUGAGAAACAUCCACCUACGACCUCAGGUCCUCAGACUGACCAGCCCAAGAAACAUCUCACCAAUUUCAAAUCCAGUAAGCGGCCUCUUUUUACUCUUCUCCAACCUCCCUCACUAUCCCUCAACCUCUUUCUCCUUUCAAUCUUGGUGCCACACUUCAAUCUCUCCCUUCUCUUCAUUUCAAUUCCUUUCAUUUUCUGAUAGAGACAAAAGAGACAUGUUUUAUCCGUGAACCCAAAACUCCGGCGCCGGUCACGGACUGGGAAGGCAGCCUUCCCUUGGUGUUUAAUCAUUGCAGGGACGCCUCUCUGAUUAUACACUCACGUUUCAAGGGUGUCAGACCACGCAGGGAUGCCUGCCUUAGUCCUUCACCCUUAGUGGCAAGUCCCGCUUUCCUGGGGCAGGGGCAAGUACCCCUCAACCCCUUCUCCCUCACCCUUAGUGGCAAGUCCCGCUUUCCUGGGGCAGGGGCAAGUACCCCUCAACCCCUUCUCCUUCACCCUUAGUGGCAAGUCCCACUUUCCUAGGGGGCAAGAACCCCCCAAUCGCUUAUUUCCACACCCCAACCUCUUAUCUCUGUGCUCCAAUCCCUUAUUUCCACACCCUGACCUCUUAUCUCUGUGCCCCAAUCCCUUAUUUCCGUGCCCCAACCCCUUCUCUGCUUUUCUGGAGGGCAAGAACCCCCCACCCUUUCUCUGUGUCUCUACUCUUUUCUCUGGGCUUGCCUCCUUCACUAUGGGUAAGGUUCCACCUUCCAUUCCUCCUUCUUCUCCCUUAGCCUCUGUUCUCAAAAACUUAAAACCUCUUCAACUCACACCUGACCUAAAACCUAAAUGUCUUAUUUUCUUCUGCAAUGCCGCUUGACCCCAAUACAAACUCGACAGUAGUUCCAAAUAGCCAGAAAAUGGCACUUUGAAUUUUUCCAUCCUGCAAGAUCUAAAUAAUUCUUGUCGUAAAAUAGGCAAAGGGCCUGAGGUGCCUGACGUCCAGGCAUUCUUUUACACAUCAGUCCUGUCCUAGUCUCUGUGCCCAGUGCAACUCGUCCCAAAUCUUCCUUCUUUCCCUCCCGCCUGUCCCCUCAGUACCAACCCCAAGCGUCGCUGAGUCUUUCUAAUCUUCCCUUUCUACAGACCCAUCUGACCUCUCCCUUCCUCCCCAGCCUGCUCCUCACCAGGCCGAGCUAGGUCCCAAUUCUUCCUCAGCCUCCACUCCUCCACCCUAUAAUCUUUUUAUCACCUCCCCUCCUCACACCUGGUCCUGCUUACAGUUUCGUUCCGUGACUAGCCCUCCCCCACCUGCCCAGCAAUUUACUCUUAAAAAGGUGGCGGGAGCCAAAGGCAUAGUCAAGGUUAAUGCUCCUUUUUCUUUAUCCCAAAUCAGAUAGUGUUUAGGCUCUUUUUCAUCAAAUAUAAAAAUCCAGCCCAGUUCAUGACUUGUUUGGCAGCAACCCUGAGACACUUUACAGCCCUAGACCCUAAAAAGUCAAAAGGCCGUCUCAUCCUCAAAAUACAUUUUAUUACCCAAUCUGCUCCCGACAUUAAAUAAAACUCCAAAAAUUAAAUUCCGGCCCUCAAGCCCCACAACAGGAUUUAAUUAACCUCGCCUUCAAGGUGUACAAUAAUAGAAAAAAGUUGCAAUUCCUUGCCUCCACUGUGAGACAAACCCCAGCCACAUCUCCAGCACACAAGAACUUCCAAACACCUGAACCGCAGCGGCCAGGCGUUCCUCCACAACCUCCUCCCACAGGAGCUUGCUACACGUGCCAGAAAUCUGGCCACUGGGCCAAGGAAUGCCUGCAGCCCAGGAUUCCUCCUAAGCCGCGUCCCAUCUGUGCGUGACCCCACUGAAAAUCGGACUGUUCAACUCACCUGGCAGCCACUCCCAGAGGCCCUGGAACUCUGGCCCAAGGCUCUCUGACUGACUCCUUCCCAGAUCUUCUCGGCUUAGCGGCUGAAGACUGACACUGCCCGAUAGCCUCGGAAGCCCCCAGACCAUCACGGACGCUGAGCUUUGGGUAACUCUCACAGUGGAAGGUUCCCACGCCGACCCUAAUCCCGCUUGAAGCAGCCCUGAGAAACAUCGCCCAUUCUCUCUCCAUAUCACCCCCCAAAAAUUUUUGCCGCCCCAACAUUUCAACACUAUUUUGUUUUAUUUUUCUUAUUAAUAUAAGAAGGCAGGAAUGUCAGGCCUCUGAGCCCAAGCCAAGCCAUCGCACCCCCUGUGACUUGCACGUAUAGGCCCAGAUGGCCUGAAGUAACUGAAGAAUCACAAAAGUGAAUAUGCCCUGCCCCACCUUAACUGAUGACAUUCCACCACAAAAGAAGUGUAAAUGGCCGGUCCUUGCCUUAACUGAUGACAUUACCUUGUGAAAGUCCUUUUCCUGGCUCAUCCUGGCUCAAAAAGCACCCCCACUGAGCACCUUGCGACCCCCACUCCUACCCACCAGAGAACAAACCCCCUUUGACUGUAAUUUUCCUUUACCUACCCAAAUCCUAUAAAACGGCCCCACCCUUAUCUCCCUUUGCUGACUCUCUUUUUGGACUCAGCCCGCCUGACCCCAGGUGAAAUAAACAGCCAUGUUGCUCACACAAA